ACCUAAUGAUGUGGACAUUUACACAGUAGGUUUUGGAAGCACUCCCAAGUCUCGGAAAAGAGUUCCCCAUCCAUAUGUGAGAAACUUGUGAUGGCUCUCCAAAGCU